rnacentral:rRNA from 1 species
CCUACGGGGGGCAGCAGUGGGGAAUAUUGGACAAUGGGGGCAACCCUGAUCCAGCCAUGCCGCGUGUGUGAAGAAGGCCCUCGGGUUGUAAAGCACUUUCAGUGAGGAAGAACGCCUGGUGGUUAAUACCCAUCAGGAAAGACAUCACUCACAGAAGUAGCACCGGCUAACUCCGUGCCAGCAGCCGCGGUAAUACGGAGGGUGCGAGCGUUAAUCGGAAUUACUGGGCGUAAAGCGCGCGUAGGUGGCUUGAUAAGCCGGUUGUGAAAGCCCCGGGCUCAACCUGGGAACGGCAUCCGGAACUGUCAAGCUAGAGUGCAGGAGAGGAAGGUAGAAUUCCCGGUGUAGCGGUGAAAUGCGUAGAGAUCGGGAGGAAUACCAGUGGCGAAGGCGGCCUUCUGGACUGACACUGACACUGAGGUGCGAAAGCGUGGGUAGCAAACAGGCUUAGAUACCCCUGUAGUC